GUGCCAGCCGCCGCGGUAAAACGGAGGGUGCAAGCGUUGUUCGGAAUUACUGGGCGUAAAGCGCGUGCAGGUGGUUUUUUAAGUUUCGUGUGAAAUCCCAUGGCUCAACCAUGGAACGGCACGGAAAACUGGAAGGCUUGAGUACGGGAGAAGAGGGCGGAAUUCCCAGUGUAGAGGUGAAAUUCGUAGAUAUUGGGAGGAACACCGGUGGCGAAAGCGGCUCUCUAGACCGAUACUGACGCUCAUACGCGAGAGCGUGGGUAGCAAACAGGAUUAGAAACCCCAGUAGUCC
rnacentral:rRNA from 1 species